UACGAGGGGGGCGAGCGUUGUUCGGAAUUAUUGGGCGUAAAGGGUGCGUAGGCGGCCUGACAAGUCUGAUGUGAAAUCCCUGGGCUCAACCCAGGGCCUGCAUCGGAAACUGUCGGGCUUGAGUAUGGGAGAGGUGAGUGGAAUUUCCGGUGUAGCGGUGAGAUGCGUAGAUAUCGGAAGGAACACCUGUGGCGAAAGCGGCUCACUGGACCAUUACUGACGCUGAGGCACGAAAGCUAGGGGAGCAAACAGG
rnacentral:rRNA from 1 species